GUGCCAGCAGCCGCGGUAAUACAGGGGUCUCGAGCGUUAAUCGGAAUCACUGGGCUUAAAGGGUGCGUAGGCGGAUCCGUAAGCGCUUUGUGAAAUCCCCCGGCUCAACCGGGGAACUGCAGGGCGAACUGUGGAUCUUGAGGAAACUAGAGGCCGGUAGAACGAUUGGUGGAGCGGUGGAAUGCGUAGAUAUCAAUCGGAAUGCCAAAAGUGAAGACAGCCGGCUGGGGUUUUCCUGACGCUGAGGCACGAAAGCGUGGGGAGCAAACCGGAUUAGAUACCCGAGUAGUCC
rnacentral:rRNA from 1 species